GAUUCAUGUACGUAUCCUUGGUUCACGUACGGUUCUUGAACAUAAGAUUGAGAUGAUUGACCUUGCAUCAUGUAGUGUUGUUGACCGUACACUUGUCCUGGUGGGUUGUAAUACAUGGGCUGAGGUUGAUACCCAUAACCGCUAUACUCCGAUUUCUUCACAUCCAACGUAGCACCACCGUCACCUCCUCCGGCUGAGGCAACUUCUUUCUUCUUUUCACCACCACCGUCCUUCUUUUCUCCAACAUCUUUAGUCUCUUUCUUUUCACCAACACCUUUGUCCUUCUUCUCCCCGCCAGCUGGAGCCGCCGCAGCUGCCACGGU
rnacentral:lncRNA from 1 species